GCCUGGGGGGCUCAGUCGGUUGAGUGUCUGACUUCGGCUCAGGUCAUGAUCUCACAGCUCAUGGGUUCGAGCCCCACGUCGGGCU
rnacentral:tRNA from 1 species